GUCAGAAAUGUUGCAACUUGCUAUCCUGCCUGAAAAAAUGGCUUCAGUUGGAGCUCUGUCAGUCUGCUCCCUUAACUAAGUCUAAUCACCAUUCUUUCUUACUUUCAGCAGAACAGCUAAGAAGGACUGCAAAACAAGAUGACCAUAAAUUACAGUAUCUGUUGAAGACAUUUUCUGUUCUGAUCUCUUACAUUUUUGGGUUGGAAUUUUAUGGAUGCUUCCAUGUUUAAUUAUAAUCAUGCAUGGACUUUUCUCUUAAAAUCACUGUUUUUCCUGUAAUGGUUCUCCAAGUUUCUUUAUAUAAUUAAUGUAUCAUUCCAGGACUAAAUUUGAAAAGGUCAUAGGGGAUGAUUCAACUAUGCACUUGCUUAUUAUGAAGUUUCUGUUAGGAAUUGGGAUGCAAACCUACGCAUAGAAGGAAUUUGAAACCACACAUGGAAAACAGUAAACACCCAGCCCAGAGCAUCAAAUGAGGGGAGCAGCUGCUGACCCCCUGCACACUGCCAGCUGGAGAAGCCAGAGAAGCUUGAUCCAUGCAGUGAUCAGCCAGCAACGACAGUGAACCUGAAACAGGAUCUUAGAGGAAGACUCGAGCAUUAAGGAGAAAACUACUUUACACCUUUAGUAAAGAUCUUUUCAUAUGGUUGAGA